rnacentral:piRNA from 1 species
UAGUUUAGUCAUGAUUAAAUGCGCCGGUA